rnacentral:rRNA from 1 species
UACUGGGCUUAAAGGGUGCGUAGGCGGCGCUGUAAGUGCCUUGUGAAAUCCCAUGGCUUAACCAUGGAAUUGCUCGGCAGACUGCAGUGCUUGAGGUUGGUAGGGGUCGCUGGAACUCUAGGUGGAGCGGUGAAAUGCGUAGAUAUCUAGAGGAACGCCAAAGGUGUAGACAGGCGACUGGGCCAAUUCUGACGCUGAGGCACGAAAGCGUGGGUAGCGAACGGGAUUAGAUACCCCGGUAGUCCACGCCCUAAACGAUGUGCACUAGAUCGUGGAGGCUCUGACGCCAUCAUGGUCGAAGUUAAAAUGCUAAGUGCACCGCCUGGGGAGUACGGUCGCAAGGCUAAAACUCAAAGAAAUUGACGGGGGCUCACACAAGCGGUGGAGCAUGUGGCUCAAUUCGAAGCAACGCGAAGAACCUUAUCCUGGGCUUGACAUGUAUGGAUUAGGUCGUGGAAACACGGCUGAGGCCUUCGGGUACAACAUACACAGGUGCUGCAUGGCUGUCGUCAGCUCGUGCUGUGAAGUGUCGGGUUAAGUCCCUUAACGAGCGAAACCCCUAUCUCUAGUUGCCAACAGGUAAUGCUGGGGACUCUAGCGAGACUGCCGGUGUCAAACCGGAGGAAGGUGGGGAUGACGUCAAGUCCUCAUGGCCCUUAUGCCCAGGGCUGCACACGUGCUACAAUGGCGUCGACAAAGCGAAGCAAGACCGCAAGGUGGCGCAGAUCGCACAAACGACGCCCCAGUUCAGAUUGAGGUCUGCAACUCGACCUCAUGAAGUUGGAAUCGCUAGUAAUCGCGGAUCAGCUACGCCGCGGUGAAUAUGUUCCUGAGCCUUGUACACACCGCCCGUCAAGUCAUGGGAGCCGGGAAUACCCGAAGUCGCCU